CAGUCGCCGCGGGAAUACGAAGGGUGCAAGCGUUAAUCGGAAUUACUGGGCGUAAAGCGUGCGUAGGCGGUUUGUUAAGUCUGUUGUGAAAUCCCCGGGCUCAACCUGGGAAUGGCAAUGGAUACUGGCAAGCUAGAGUGUGUCAGAGGAUGGUGGAAUUCCCGGUGUAGCGGUGAAAUGCGUAGAGAUCGGGAGGAGCAUCAGUGGCGAAGGCGGCCAUCUGGGACAACACUGACGCUGAGGCACGAAAGCGUGGGGAGCAAACAGGAUUAGAUACCCCAGUAGUCCCUGUCUCUUAUAC
rnacentral:rRNA from 1 species